AUAAAGUGAACUGAACACACAGUCAGUCACAAAGCACUAAGAAUGUAAUAGAGAAAUAGUUAAUGUUUUUAUUAUUUUUCUCUUUCUUUUUGCAAUGAUUCGCUGCACUUUAAUCAAUCUUCUCUGGAUUUCAUUCUCUGUUCAUCGGUCUUACUCAGUCACAUAUACACUCCAGUACCUCUACACUGCAGUCACACCAGGAAUAAAUUUCCCAGAAUACACUGAGGUUGGUCUGGUUGAUGGAGAGCCAUUUGUGUACUAUGACAGUAACAUAAGGAAAUACAUCCCAAAAACUGAGUGGAUAAAGAAGAUCAGUGAUGAUGAUCCAGACUACUGGACCAGUGGGACACAGAUUCAGAAUGCUCAACAAGAGACCUACAAAGCAGAUGUGAUCACACUAAUGCAGCGCUUUAAUCAGACUGGAGGGUUUCACACGCUACAGAGGAUGUACGGCUGUGAGAUCCAUGAUGAUGGGACUAUUAGAGGUUAUGAGCAGUUAGGAUAUGAUGGAGAAGAUUUCAUCAGUCUGGAUCUGGAACAUGUCACCUGGACUGCAGCUAAACCUCAGGCUGUUAUCUCCAAAAACAAACUGAAUUUUGCAGGAGCUGCUCCUUUUGAGAAAUAUUAUCUGGAGAACAUCUGUAUUGAAUGGUUAAAAAAAUACGCGUCCCAUGGCAGAGAGACUCUGGAAAGGAAAGUUCGUCCUGAGGUAUCCAUCUUCCACAAACACUCGUCUCCAGAUGUGGUGUGUCACACUACAGGUUUCUACCCUAAAGAAGUGGUGAUCACCUGGAAGAAGGAUGGAGAGGUCAUGCUUGAGGACGUGGAGCUCAGGGAGACGUUACCAAACCAGGAUGGAAGCUUCCAGAAGAGAAGCAUUCUGAAAGUCUCAGCUGAGGAGCUGCAGAAACACAACUACACCUGUGUGGUUCAGCACAGCAGCCUGGACAAGGAGAUCGUGAAGAUCAUCCCGAGAGAUGGAGGAUCUGGUGUACUGCGUAUUGGUGUUCUUGCUGCAGUCUUGGUUAUUGCUGUUUUUGUUGGAUUUCUCAUCUGGAAGAAAAAAUCAGAUUUCAAACAAGUUCCACAAAACAUGAACCCCUCAGAAGAAAAACGACUACAAAAAUGACUAUCUCCUGAACAGAGAAUGAGUCCAGAGAACAGAGACAGUGAGGGUUUUACCUAACAUGCAGAAACAAAACCUGGGUCUCACCUGAUGUACCAGACUGAUGAGGCUUGGUAUGAAGGGAAGAAGCCUAUGGUUCCCCCAGUGUACUUGGUGCCACGCCCUACCUGGUUAGCUGACUCUUGCAGCCUAUAAGAAGACUCCUUCAUCACUUCCUGUGUCUGUCUUGUGCUCAUUUGCUGUGUUUGCUCUGCCUUGUCUACUAGUUGUCUAGGUGUAUGCUAAGACCGAGAAUAUCAUUGUGGUUCUUUUUGAGUGUUUGAGGGUAAGGAAUUGACUGUUUGCUAAUGUGCUUAGCCCAACCGUUUAUAGUACGGCCUAUUGCCUGUUCUCAGACCUUGACUCUGGAUUGCCCCGUAGUAAAAUUUAUUCUUACUUUGAUUGCCAAAGGGAUGAAAGAUCUUAAGCACUUAGUACAACACUUGGUAGUGAUCAGUCUCUGGCUGAAUGUGCUCUUCUGAUCAACCAGCACACUGUGUAGUGGAUGAGAAGGGUUGUCCAGGAUUGAAUGGAGUUUUGACAGCAUUCGUCUCUCAACAACAACGUGAACUGGGUCCAGGUCCAUGUCAAGUACGAAGCCAGCCCCCCUGAUUAGUCUGUCCAGUUUUUUCUCUGCCACCUUCAUGUUACUUCCCCAACAGACCGCUGCAUAGAAAAUGACACUAGACACCACAGACUCAUAGAAAAUCUGCAGUAUGAUGUUGCAGACGUUGAAGGACCUGAGCCUCCUCAGGAAACACAGCCUACUCUGAUCUUUCUUCUAGAGCGCUGUUGAGUUUAGUGUCCAGUCCAGUUUGUUGUCAAUAUGAACUCCCAGGUAUUUGUAAUCCUCAACAAAUUUCAGCUUUCUCACCAUGGACAGACAACGGAGAGACUGAGGCUCUGGAUUUUCUAAAGUCCAGCUACCAGUUCUUUUGUUUUCCCAACAUUAAGCUGUAGGUGAUUGAGCUCACACCACGUGACAAAGUUGUCCACUGCUGUCUGAUACUCCAAAGUGUUACCUCCCGACAAUCACAGAGUCAUGAGAGAAUUUCUGAAGGUGGCAGGAUUCCAAAUUGUGUCUGGAAUCCUGAUGUAUACCUGGUGAAGAGGAAGGGACAAAGAACCGUUCCCUGAGGAACACCAGUGCUGCAGAUCAUGGUGUCGAGGACACAGUUUUGUAUUCGGGCAUACUGGGGACGUCCGGUGAGGUAGUCCAUAAUCCAUGAAACCAGAUGAGCGUACACAUUCAUGUUCUUCAACUUCUCUCCCAGUAGGGUGGGCCUGAUGGUGUUAAUAGCAUUUGAGAAGUCGAAAAACAUAAACCUCACAGAGCUCCCCGGUUUCUCUAGGUGGGUGAAGCAGAUGUAUAAUGGCAUCGUCCACUGAGUUGAGGCUGAUAGGCAAACUGUAGGGGAUCAAGGAAGGGUUUGAUGGGGGGUGGAAUGGAAGUCAGGAUCAGUCUCUCAAAAACUUUUAUUAAAUGAGUGGUCAGCGCUACUGGCCUGUAAUCAUUAGGGACACAGAGCCGUGUUACCUUUGGUACCAGUACUAGGCAUAAACAAUAAUAACAUUAAUAAAAGAUAGAAACAAAUGUAAAUUCGUUUAGGGAAAUUCUAAUUUAUUUCUAUGUUUAUGUAGAAAUUAGUGAGAAUAAAGGUAUCCAUAUUAUAGUCCAUAUUAUAAUACUUAAUUGGAGCUGCUCAUCAUCUAAAAAGUUUAAGAUUUCCUGAGUGAUUGUGCACACUCAUACACACACACACAGACUUUAGCUAAUCAUUGGUUUACUAAAGUUUUUUCUGAUCCAGUAAUAAUGCCUGAUGACAUCUAUAGUACAGAUAAAAUGCUUGAUAGAUUCGAAUGAAUACCUGCACUGCGUCCUUAACUAAAACUGGAAAUAAGCAAAAAAGAAAUAUUGCAUAACAGGAAACUUGUUUCAUAUAAUGGAGAAGAUUAUAAGAGCAAACAGGUUUUCCUGAAGACUUUGGUGUUGUAAGCAGACUGUUAGACUCCUAAAUGUUACACAAAUAUCUCCUAAGUGAAACAUUCACAACAUUACUGAUUACAUAUUUCGGUUUAUUAAACUAUAAUACAAAAGUACCCAUUUAGAAUUAGAAUUUAAGUUAAGUGGUGUGUGUUCACUAAACACUCACUAAACUAAUUUAAAAGUUCACAUCACUGUGUCAUAAGUCAUGUACUCAAAUCAGGCACCUUUAUGGCAAAGGCUGCUUCUGAAGAAAUAAUGAAAUGUUUGAGGCAUGUCCUGACGUGAGGGCCAGCUAGUUGCCACAUAAAUACAUCAAGAAUAAAAGUCUAUUAUGUGUAAAAGUACA